UACGUAGGGGGCAAGCGUUGUCCGGAAUCAUUGGGCGUAAAGAGCGUGUAGGCGGCUCGAUAAGUCUGCUGUGAAAGUCCAGGGCUCAACCCUGGAAGGCCGGUGGAAACUGUCGGGCUAGGGUCCGGAAGAGGCGAGUGGAAUUCCCGGUGUAGCGGUGAAAUGCGCAGAUAUCGGGAGGAACACCAAUGGCGAAGGCAGCUUGCUGGGACGGUACUGACGCUGAGGCGCGAAAGCGUGGGGAGCAAACAGGG
rnacentral:rRNA from 1 species